rnacentral:sRNA from 3 species
UAUCUCUCCGUACGGGGAAGGAUGAGAAGCUUCGACUAAGGUUCGAUUCGAGCGCAGCGAGAAAGCGUUGCCGCAGGCAACGACCCGAAGGGCGAAGCGCGCAGCGCUGAGUCAUCCUUCCCCCAC